rnacentral:rRNA from 1 species
CCUACGGUGUGCAACAGUAGGGAAUCUUCCACAAUGGGCGAAAGCCUGAUGGAGCAACGCCGCGUGGGUGAAGAAGGUCUUCGGAUCGUAAAACCCUGUUGUUAGAGAAGAAAGUGCGUGAGAGUAACUGUUCACGUUUCGACGGUAUCUAACCAGAAAGCCACGGCUAACUACGUGCCAGCAGCCGCGGUAAUACGUAGGUGGCAAGCGUUAUCCGGAUUUAUUGGGCGUAAAGGGAACGCAGGCGGUCUUUUAAGUCUGAUGUGAAAGCCUUCGGCUUAACCGGAGUAGUGCAUUGGAAGCUGGGAGAGUUGAGUGCAGAAGAGGAGAGUGGAACUCCAUGUGUAGCGGUGAAAUGCGUAGAUAUAUGGAAGAACACCAGUGGCGAAAGCGGCUGUUUGGUCUGUCACGGACGCUGGUGUGUGAUAGAGUG